rnacentral:tRNA from 1 species
UCCCUGGUGGUCCAGUGGUUAGGACUUGGUGCUCUUACUCCCAGGGGCCCGGGUUUGGUUCCUGGUUGGGGAA